rnacentral:rRNA from 1 species
GAUGAACGCUGGCGGCGUGCCUAAUACAUGCAAGUCGAGCGAACGGACGAGAAGCUUGCUUCUCUGAUGUUAGCGGCGGACGGGUGAGUAACACGUGUAUAACCUACCUAUAAGACUGGGAUAACUUCGGGAAACCGUAUCUAAUACCGGAUAAUAUUUUGAACCGCAUGGUUCAAAAGUGAAAGACGGUCUUGCUGUCACUUAUAGAUGGAUCCGCGCUGCAUUAGCUAGUUGGUAAGGUAACGGCUUACCAAGGCAACGAUGCAUAGCCGACCUGAGAGGGUGAUCGGCCACACUGGAACUGAGACACGGUCCAGACUCCUACGGGAGGAAGCAGUAGGGAAUCUUCCGCAAUGGGCGAAAGCCUGACGGAGCAACGCCGCGUGAGUGAUGAAGGUCUUCGGAUCGUAAAACUCUGUUAUUAGGGAAGAACAUAUGUGUAAGUAACUGUGCACAUCUUGACGGUACCUAAUCAGAAAGCCACGGCUAACUACGUG